rnacentral:rRNA from 1 species
GACGAACGCUGGCGGCGUGCUUAACACAUGCAAGUCGAACGGUAAGGCCCUUCGGGGUACACGAGUGGCGAACGGGUGAGUAACACGUGGGUGAUCUGCCCUGCACUUCGGGAUAAGCCUGGGAAACUGGGUCUAAUACCGGAUAGGACCACCGCCUACAUGGGUGGUGGUGGAAAGCUGUUGCGGUGUGGGAUGGGCCCGCGGCCUAUCAGCUUGUUGGUGGGGUGAUGGCCUACCAAGGCGACGACGGGUAGCCGGCCUGAGAGGGUGACCGGCCACACUGGGACUGAGAUACGGCCCAGACUCCUACGGGAGGCAGCAGUGGGGAAUAUUGCACAAUGGGCGCAAGCCUGAUGCAGCGACGCCGCGUGAGGGAUGACGGCCUUCGGGUUGUAAACCUCUUUCAGCACCGACGAAGCGCAAGUGACGGUAGGUGCAGAAGAAGGACCGGCCAACUACGUGCCAGCAGCCGCGGUAA